rnacentral:rRNA from 1 species
UACGGGGGGAGCAAGCGUUGUUCGGAUUUACUGGGCGUAAAGGGCGCGUAGGCGGUCAGCACAAGUCAGUUGUGAAAUCUCCGGGCUUAACCCGGAAAGGUCAACUGAUACUGUGCGACUAGAGUGCGGAAGGGGCGACUGGAAUUCUCGGUGUAGCGGUGAAAUGCGUAGAUAUCGAGAGGAACACCUGCGGCGAAGGCGGGUUGCUGGGCCGACACUGACGCUGAUGCGCGAAAGCCAGGGGAGCGAACGGG